rnacentral:lncRNA from 1 species
AGUCCUCAUAUGUGUCUUUGUAGUUUACACACAUUUGUCAUUUUGUCUGCAUUACAGCCCAGAAACGAGGCAGAGGUCACUGACAUGAUCUUACAGUAAAGGACCCCAAGAAUCUGGAAGAUGACAAUGAUGUGUGUCCAGAAUCCCCAUCUCCCCAGCUCAAUGAUGACGAGCAAGGACUCUGAGAAGCAAGAUUGUGGAAUGCUCCUGUUCCCAGGAGACCUGGAGGAGCAUCUCUGUAUUUGUAUGGCCAUGAGUUUUAUUACAGUACCCUGUUACCUGAAGUAAUCCAAAG